GUGAAUUUAGUUUAAAAAUAAAAUAUCUACUUUGCAAGUAGAUGCCACAGUUUAACCCUUGUAUCCACA
rnacentral:tRNA from 1 species